GAUGAACGCUGGCGGCGUGCUUAACACAUGCAAGUCGAACGGUGAAGGCGGAGCUUGCUCUGCUGGAUCAGUGGCGAACGGGUGAGUAACACGUGAGCAAUCUGCCCCUGACUCUGGGAUAAGCGCUGGAAACGGCGUCUAAUACUGGAUACGAGCUGCGAAGGCAUCUUCAGCAGCUGGAAAGAAUUUCGGUCAGGGAUGAGCUCGCGGCCUAUCAGCUUGUUGGUGAGGUAAUGGCUCACCAAGGCGUCGACGGGUAGCCGGCCUGAGAGGGUGACCGGCCACACGGGGGCGAAGACACGGCCCAGCCCCCACGGGGGGGAAGCAGGGGGGAAGAUGGCACAAGGGGAAAAAGCUGGAUGCAGCACCGCCGGGGGGGGGAGGGGGGCCGUGGGUUUGAAAACCUUUUUGAGCGGGAAAGAAGCGAAAGUGAGGGUACCUAAAAAAAAAGCCCCGGCAAACUCGGUG
rnacentral:rRNA from 1 species